CCUACGGGAGGCAGCAGUGAGGAAUAGUGGUCAAUGGACGAGAGUCUGAACCAGCCAAGUAGCGUGAAGGAUGACUGCCCUAUGGGUUGUAAACUUCUUUUAUAAAGGAAUAAAACGAGGCACGUGUGCCUUUUUGCAUGUACUUUAUGAAUAAGGAUCGGCUAACUCCGUGCCAGCAGCCGCGGUAAUACGGAGGAACCGAGCGUUAUCCGGAUUUAUGGGGUUUAAAGGGAGCGUAGAUGGGUUGUUAAGUCAGUUGGGAAAGUUUGCGGCUCAGCGGUAAAAUUGCAAUUGAUACUGGCAGUCUUGAGUACAGUUGCGGUAGGCGCAAUUCGUGUUGUAGCGGU
rnacentral:rRNA from 1 species